rnacentral:misc_RNA from 1 species
GCUCCUACCGAUUGAGUGUUCCGGUGAAUUAUUCGGACUGACGCAGUGCUCAGCUUCUGGACGUUGCGUUGGAAAGUUUCAUGAACCUUAUCACUUAGAGGAAGGAGAAGUCGUAACAAGGUUUCCGUAGGUGAACCUGCAGAAGGAUCAUGUUCUGAUUUGCGUCUUGUAGGGUUAGAGUGUAUUUCUCGCUGUUCUCCGUAUCUUUUACUAUUAUCUUUUUCUUCUUCUCUUUUUUUUUCUUUUUCUUCCCUUCUUUCCUUCUCUUUCUUUUUUC